rnacentral:lncRNA from 1 species
UAUUAUCUUCAUUUGUCCCCUUCUCUUCAUUCCCAUGGCUGUUAGCCUAGUCCAUCACCUCCUGCCUAUUCCCUCUCCCUCCCAAAAUAACAUCUCUAAGACACACUUCUAACCAUAUCACUCCCUUGUCUUCAGCAGUUCCCUUCUGCUCGUCAGAUAAAAUACUUCUUAGGCUGCCAUUUCAAGGACUCCACCAUCUUCAUCCACGUUGAUCUAAUACUGGCUCUCUCUGUGAAUUCUCUGGUCCAGCCCAGCUGAAGUCUAGAUAGAUGGUCCCUUGCACUCAUCAUUUCAUCUCUCAACUCCUGUCUCCUCCAUGCCUGGCACAGACUCCUACUUCAGCUCCACUUCUUGGAAUUCUUGCUUCCUUCAAGGGGAUCCCAGAAUGAAGAGAAGUGGAACUUCCCCCUUAUAGGCAGCCCAACACUUUGGCAUUACCAAAGCCCUCCCCCUAUGAGGGACGAUGGAUUUACCCUGUUGCCUGGAGACUGGAUUCAAACAGAGACCCAGAGAGAGCACCGGGUCACUGGGUCCAGAGGGGUUAAGAACAAGUCCUGGAGCGGAUAACUCCUGGAGCAGAUAACGGAACUGAGUAACCCCAGCAAAGUGAAGCCUCAGCUCGAGCUGGAGGGAGAUGACAGGAAGAAGAAGGCAGCGUCUGCGGACCCCCUACCCAGGCAGGACUUACCUCCCGCCCCAGCGCUCAAGCUGCCUCCUGCUGGAUUAAUAUUUCUCAACAUAUAAUUAAAUAUUGUUUUUGUGAUUAAUCACUAUGUUUAAAUUAUGUUUGAUUUGUAGCAAUGAGAAUACAUAAUGCAUAUCAGGUAUUUACAUUCCAAAUCAUAACUAGCAAAAUUACAGUUUUGAAGUAGCCACAAAAAUAAUUUUUUGGUUUGGGGCCACCGCAACAUGAGGAACUGUAUUGCGGGAUCACAGUAUUAGAAAGGUUGAGAACCACUAUGCUAGAAUUAUCCCAUCUGACAGAUGAGGAAACUGAGGCAAGCAAAAGUGGAGUGACUUACCCAGGGUCAAACAGCUAAUAAAUGUCUAAGGAGGUCAGUUUCCA